rnacentral:lncRNA from 1 species
AUUGCUCCCCUUGCUACCGCUGACACUUGGCACCGCCGCCUCCUAGCAGCGGCCAGACGCGGGGCUGGGGGCCUUCCACGCAAACCGAAGGAGAUACGGACAUCGUCAUUCUCCCCACCGCGCGAGCCGGGCCCGCCACCCACGCAGGGGAGACCGUGCCCGUGCCCCUCUCCCGCGCCUGCCGCAGAUGCAGGGAAAACCGCCUGACAUCAUGAGAGCGGGACAAACGCUCACUUUGAAGGAUUCCUGGGCAGGACUUCAAGUGAAAUCAUAUGCCUGAGAAGAACUUGAUACCGGUCUAGAGAAAAUAACCAGUUCUGACUUUGCCAAACCAUGGAAUGUGCAAAAUGCUCUACUUUUUUGCAAGAGGCCAAAUGUCCCUUAAAAAGCUCCAUUAUGAAUAUGAACCUUAAGACCGAAGGGUCAAGAAGCUUGUGCCGUUGUUGAGUGUGGGAAAAAAUUUACACACAUCGUGCAAGUUUCUGCUCCUUAACAUUAUUUUAUUAAUAAUACGUUCCACUUUGGGGAGGGGAACCUGUAACUGUGCGUGAAUUAUCAUCUGGACAUGUGCUUCUGUGAACAAAAGGGGAAAUGUGCAUAUGGGUAAAAAAAUUACUGCUUUCUUAUAACUAAAGGCUAUCAAUCUGACCAACUUAUAAAUAAAAGUAAUCAAUAGCACAGUAAAGGAAACAUUAAAUUUUCUACAAUUUACCCAAGACAAUUUAAUACAAUACUUUCCCCUAGCAAAUGCAUUCUGAAGGAAAAAGAUCCCAAGUGAACCAACACAUUAAUUGGAAAGCCUUAGCUUCUUAUUUCCGAAAACAAGAGGUAAUUCAUUCUAUGUGUUCUUUAAAUAAGGGUAGGUAGCAAAAAUAAAAUGAAAUAACAUAAAAUCAAAAGAAGAUAUAAUGGUGGAGGAAAAGAAACAGGUGGCUUCAUUUCUAUUCUAAAAAAGAAUUUCACGAUUUAUGUCUUGUGUAUACAGGGGUAGGGAUUAGAAUCUGCAAGCUGGAAACUGCAUUCCAGUAGUUAAUAUUUUUCAUUGUGCAGUCGCCUCAUUCAAAAUAAAAUUACCACCUUUUUCAUUCAUUUAUUUCUCUGAAAAUCUGGGGGGAAACAUUACCUUCAGAUUAGUAUUUAAUAUUACUAUAAAUAUGGCAUUUGCUUUUCUCCAAAGUGUUUCCCCUUAUGAAAAAAGUAGAAAAAGCAAAACACAUUAAAAAAAGAAAGAAAUAAAAGAAAGGCAAAUGGAGAGCUACCUUUCUUUGACACAUCUAGUUCUUAUAUCCAGAGUUAAGAUAACAAUUACCUUCUCAGCAGUCAUGGCCAGCUCCAUCCUGGUGUACCUUAAGAAAUCUGAAAUAUCAAAUAGUCAGACCAAGCUAGUGAACAAGGAGACUCCCCAUGAAUAAUUUAGAAAAUGGAGGUGGUUGGAUGAUACAUACAAAAAAGAAUUACCAACCUAAUGCUUUCCCUCAUCCUCCUAGGGCACCCUCCUUACAUUUCUAACCUGCCUUACACACAACACACACACACCCCCAACAAAUACACCAACACAUAAUCGCCUUCCCUUUCUGUUAUUUGCUAAAGGACUAUCAAAAUAAAAAAAUAAUAAUACUUCUCCAAGCUUUCACUAACCUUUUAAUACAAGUCAAUGCUGCAGACUCCUUAUUGUAAAAUAUAGUCUGAAAUAUUAACAAUAAAUUCAUAAUAUUCUUAUGUCAGCAUUCUAUGGUGCUGUGUGAAGAAGAAAACAAAAACCUUCAGGCAAUAAAAUAACUUUGACCUGAGCUAAGCAAAAACGAUCUGUUUGGAUACAUACACUUAUUAGUCAUUGUUUGAAACAGGCACCAAAAUGAUUUUCCAGUUUGAAAGCUUCCCCAGUUACACUUGGAUGCAGUAAAUCGGAUGUAAAAGCUAAGAACUGAUACAAAAUCACUAUUUCUAAUAAUGUUAAUUAUAAAAGCCAGUAUGUUCCUGGCCCACAAAUAAUCAGAAUGAAAUAAAAAAUCAAACACCCCCGUUUGCCCAUUAUUGUUUUACUUAACUUCAGAUUGUGUGUGUGUGUAUGUAUGAUCUCACCAGGGAAAAAUUCUGUGUAAUUCUGGAUAAAAUAUAACGCUAAUGAACUGACUAGUAACUGCAUAGCUGUAGUAUUUAAAACUGUGAUUAUUCCAACUGUGAUUAUAUCCAGUUACCAAGGAUACUGAAAGUUCAGGAUCUUCAUUUUUGUAUAUUAUUCCACAGCCUUAUAUUCUUUACACAUAAAAAAAGAAUGAUGCUUCCCAAAUAGCGUCAAUAUAGCGAUAUAUUAACUUUUCUUUUUAGCAAACAUGACACUAAACGUCAUAUUCAUUCAUGAGAGAAGAGUUAAGCAAAUUACAAAUGGAAUUUUCUCUUUUCUGCUGAUUUACACUUUAUUUUCUAUGCAUUUCUGGUCAUUUCUAUAUGUGUAUAGAUAAUUUUCAUAACACUAUAUAUGUUUUCACUGAAAAGAACCUGUUAUUUAGGAAUCUUCACAAAGAGUGAAGAGCAUGACAAAAAGUACAUAAUAAGAGAAUAGUGCAGGUUUUAUACUCCUUAUUUGCAUUUAACUGUUUUAACAACUAUCACCUCAAAAUAAAAAGGAGGUGAAUAGCAAAUUUGUUAAGUUUUUGCUGUUUGGAGACAGUAAGAGAUGAAGAGAUGCUACUAAGCCCUCUGAAUACCAAACUGGAAUAAUAAUAAAGCUGUCUUUUAAAAUAACAUGCUUGUGCCUGUCAGUAGCUGCUUUAUUUGAGUUUUUCAUUGCUUUGUUUAUAUUAGUGCCCCCUCCCUCCUGGGUGCCUCUAGAAUUAAACAAGCAGGUAUUUACCACCAACUUAAUCUUUAGUUUUAAAAAUAUAGACCAAACUCUAAGGUUCUCUAAAUUUUUUAUAUUUAUUUAUUGCAGAAAAAUAUACAAAGAUAUUUACAAAACAAUCAUAAAAAUAUGAAUGCAUUUAGACACCGGAUCUAUUUGCAUUUUACCAUGGGUCCUCAAUAAAUAAAUAGAAUGUUGUUUUUUGUAUUUUAAGUUUUUUUUUGUUUUUCCCCUCAGAGGAAGGAUGAAAAAAAGAAUUAACUGACUAUGGUUUUGCAGGCCAGUUUGAUCCCAGUAUUUUUAUUUCUAAAGGUGUUCUUAUAGUUCCUCUGAUUGUUACCAUUUUAAAAUAGAGAAAGUCCAUAGUGAUGCCUUUCCUUUCAGUGGCUGAUUGGCACGACCUCUUGAGAAUGCAUGCAUGAAAAAAAUAAAAAUAAAAACAUUCUUCGUCAAAAAAAAAAAAAAAAAAAA